GAUUAACGCUGGCGGCGUGCCUAACACAUGCAAGUCGAGCGGAAGCGCGUUUUACACUGAAUUCUGGAAGCUUCUAGUUGAAAGAGAAGAUUUAUUCAAGAAUUUUGUGUAAAAUGUCGGCGAGCGGCGGACGGCUGAGUAACGCGUGGGAACGUACCCCAAAGUGAGGGAUAACGCAUCGAAAGGUGUGCUAAUACCGCAUAUGGUCUUCGGAUUAAAGCCUUCGGGCGCUUUGGGAACGGCCUGCGUAAGAUUAGAUAGUUGGUGGGGUAAUGGCCUACCAAGUCGACGAUCUUUAACUGGUUUGAGAGGAUGAUCAGUCAGACUGGAACUGAGACACGGUCCAGACUCCUACGGGAGGCAGCAGUGAGGAAUCUUCCGCAAUGGGCGAAAGCCUGAUGGAGCAACGCCGCGUGCAGGAUGAAGGCCUUCGGGUUGUAAACUGCUUUUAUAAGUGAGGAUUAUGACAGUAACUUAUGAAUAAGAAUCGGCUAACUACGUG
rnacentral:rRNA from 1 species